GAAGAUUCCUACCUUCUAUGGGAAGAAUGAUCCCGAUGUCUAUCUAGAGUGGGAGAGAGAGGUUGAAUUGAUCUUUGAGUGCCACAAUUACUCAGAGGAUAAGAAAGUCAAGUUGGCAGCCAUGCAAUUCAAGGACUAUGCCAUAGUAUGGUGGGAUCAAGUCCAAGCUAAAAGGAGGAAUGGGUUGAGACCAAUCUGGACAUGGGAGGAAAUCAAAGAAUUGCUAAGAGACAGAUUUGUGCCUCCUCACUAUAUUAAAGAGUUGCACCAAAGGCUUUAAAGAUUGACUCAAGGCUCUAAGAGUGUGGAGGAUUAUCACAAGGCCAUGGAAAUAGCCAUGAUUAGGGCUAGCAUUGAGGAGAGUCCAAAA
rnacentral:misc_RNA from 1 species